rnacentral:rRNA from 1 species
AUUGAACGCUGGCGGCAGGCCUAACACAUGCAAGUCGAACGGUAACAGGAAACAGCUUGCUGUUUCGCUGACGAGUGGCGGGCGGGUGAGUAAUGUCUGGGAAACUGCCUGAUGGAGGGGGAUAACUACUGGAAACGGUAGCUAAUACCGCAUAACGUCGCAAGACCAAAGAGGGGGACCUUCGGGCCUCUUGCCAUCGGAUGUGCCCAGAUGGGAUUAGCUAGUAGGUGGGGUAACGGCUCACCUAGGCGACGAUCCCUAGCUGGUCUGAGAGGAUGACCAGCCACACUGGAACUGAGACACGGUCCAGACUCCUACGGGAGGCAGCAGUGGGGAAUAUUGCACAAUGGGCGCAAGCCUGAUGCAGCCAUGCCGCGUGUAUGAAGAAGGCCUUCGGGUUGUAAAGUACUUUCAGCGGGGAGGAAGGGAGUAAAGUUAAUACCUUUGCUCAUUGACGUUACCCGCAGAAGAAGCACCGGCUAACUCCGUGCCAGCCGCCGCCGUAG